GAUGAACGCUGGCGGCGUGCCUAAUACAUGCAAGUCGAACGCAUAGCGAAAGGUGCUUGCACCUUUCAAGUGAGUGGCGAACGGGUGAGUAACACGUGGACAACCUGCCUCAAGGCUGGGGAUAACAUUUGGAAACAGAUGCUAAUACCGAAUAAAACUUAGUGCCGCAUGACACAAAGUUAAAAGGCGCUUCGGCGUCACCUAGAGAUGGAUCCGCGGUGCAUUAGUUAGUUGGUGGGGUAAAGGCCUACCAAGACAAUGAUGCAUAGCCGAGUUGAGAGACUGAUCGGCCACAUUGGGACUGAGACACGGCCCAAACUCCUACGGGAGGCUGCAGUAGGGAAUCUUCCACAAUGGGCGAAAGCCUGAUGGAGCAACGCCGCGUGUGUGAUGAAGGCUUUCGGGUCGUAAAGCACUGUUGUAUGGGAAGAACAGCUAGAAUAGGAAAUGAUUUUAGUUUGACGGUACCAUACCAGAAAGGGACGGCUAAAUACGUG
rnacentral:rRNA from 1 species